rfam:Gossypium raimondii Chr13_contig_631, whole genome shotgun sequence.
AAUAGAAGAAUGACAAAUCAAAAUUUUUUUUCCUGAAUUUUAGCUUUUUUUUCUUAAAAAAUUUAAAUCUAACUGAAAAUGCUAAAAAUUAAGAGGAAAAAUCUGAUUUGUCAUUCUUCUAUC